AACGAACGCUGGCGGCAGGCUUAACACAUGCAAGUCGAACGCAUCCUUCGGGGUGAGUGGCAGACGGGUGAGUAACGCGUGGGAACGUGCCCUUCAGUUCGGGAUAACCCAGGGAAACUUGGGCUAAUACCGGAUACGUGCGAGAGCAGAAAGAUUUAUCGCUGAAGGAUCGGCCCGCGUCUGAUUAGCUAGUUGGUGGGGUAAUGGCCCACCAAGGCGACGAUCAGUAGCUGGUCUGAGAGGAUGAUUAGCCACAUUGGGACUGAGACACGGCCCAAACUCCUACGGGAGGCAGCAGUGGGGAAUAUUGGACAAUGGGCGCAAGCCUGAUCCAGCCAUGCCGCGUGAGUGAUGAAGGCCUUAGGGUUGUAAAGCUCUUUCGUCCGGGGCGAUAAUGACGGUACCGGAAGAAGAAGCCCCGGCUAACUUCGUGCCAGCAGCCGCCGUAA
rnacentral:rRNA from 1 species